rnacentral:tRNA from 1 species
GGCAUCGGCCGGGAAUCGAACCCAGGUCUCCCGCGUGGCAGGCGAGCAUUCUACCACUGAACCACCGAUGC